rnacentral:rRNA from 1 species
GAGUAAUACAUCGGAACGUGUCCUGGAGUGGGGGAUAGCCCGGCGAAAGCCGGAUUAAUACCGCAUACGCUCUGAGGAGGAAAGCGGGGGAUCUUCGGACCUCGCGCUCAAGGGGCGGCCGAUGGCAGAUUAGCUAGUUGGUGGGGUAAAGGCCUACCAAGGCGACGAUCUGUAGCUGGUCUGAGAGGACGACCAGCCACACUGGGACUGAGGCACGGCCCAGACUCCUACGGGAGGCAGCAGUGGGGAAUUUUGGACAAUGGGGGCAACCCUGAUCCAGCAAUGCCGCGUGUGUGAAGAAGGCCUUCGGGUUGUAAAGCACUUUUGUCCGGAAAGAAAACUUCGCUCCUAAUACGGGUGGAGGGUGACGGUACCGGAAGAAUAAGCACCGGCUAACUACGUGCCAGCAGCCGCGGUAAUACGUAGGGUGCGAGCGUUAAUCGGAAUUACUGGGCGUAAAGCGUGCGCAGGCGGUUCGCUAAGACCGAUGUGAAAUCCCCGGGCUUAACCUGGGAACUGCAUUGAUGACUGGCGGGCUAGAGUAUGGCAGAGGGGGGUAGAAUUCCACGUGUAGCAGUGAAAUGCGUAGAGAUGUGGAGGAAUACCGAUGGCGAAGGCAGCCCCCUGGGCCAAUACUGACGCUCAUGCACGAAAGCGUGGGGAGCAAACAGGAUUAGAUACCCUGGUAGUCCACGCCCUAAACGAUGUCAACUGGUUGUCGGGUCUUCAUUGACUUGGUAACGUAGCUAACGCGUGAAGUUGACCGCCUGGGGAGUACGGUCGCAAGAUUAAAACUCAAAGGAAUUGACGGGG